AUACGUAGGUGGCAAGCGUUAUCCGGUAUUAUUGGGCGUAAAGAGGGAGCAGGCGGCAGCAAGGGUCUGUGGUGAAAGCCUGAAGCUUAACUUCAGUAAGCCAUAGAAACCAGGCAGCUAGAGUGCAGGAGAGGAUCGUGGAAUUCCAUGUGUAGCGGUGAAAUGCGUAGAUAUAUGGAGGAACACCAGUGGAGAAGGCGACGAUCUGGCCUGCAACUGACGCUCAGUCCCGAAAGCGUGGGGAGCAAAUAGGAUUAGAUACCCUAGUAGUCCACGCCGUAAACGAUGAGUACUAAGUGUUGGAUGUCGAAGUUCAGUGCUGCAGUUAACGCAAUAAGUACUCCGCCUGAGUAGUACGUUCGCAAGAAUGAAACUCAAAUGAAUUGGCGGGG
rnacentral:rRNA from 1 species